rnacentral:rRNA from 1 species
UACGUAAGGUCCGAGCGUUGUCCGGAAUCAUUGGGCGUAAAGCGCGUCUAGGCGGUUUAGUAAGUCUGAUGUGAAAAUGCGGGGCUCAACCCCGUAUUGCGUUGGAAACUGCUAAACUAGAGUACUGGAGAGGUAGGCGGAACUACAAGUGUAGAGGUGAAAUUCGUAGAUAUUUGUAGGAAUGCCGAUGGGGAAGCCAGCCUACUGGACAGAUACUGACGCUAAAGCGCGAAAGCGUGGGUAGCAAACAGG